UACGUAGGGGGCAAGCGUUGUCCGGAUUUAUUGGGCGUAAAGAGCGUGUAGGCGGCUUUGCAAGUCCGUUGUGAAAACUCGAGCUCAACCUCGAGACGCCGGUGGAAACUGCAAAGCUAGAGUCCGGAAGAGGAGAGUGGAAUUCCUGGUGUAGCGGUGAAAUGCGCAGAUAUCAGGAAGAACACCCGUGGCGAAGGCGGCUCUCUGGGACGGUACUGACGCUGAAGACGCGAAAGCGUGGGGAGCGAACGGG
rnacentral:rRNA from 1 species